UACCGGGUGACCGGAUGCCGAUCUCGAAAACCUGUCCCAGUUCGGACUGGAGUCUGCAACCCGACUCCACGAAGUUGGAUUCGCUAGUAAUCGCGCAUCAGCCAUGGCGCGGUGAAUACGUUCCCGGGCCUUGUACACACCGCCCGUCAAGCCAUGGGAGCCGGGGGCGCCUGAAGUCCGGGACCGCGAGGACCGGCCUAAGGCGAAACUGGUGACUGGGGCUAAGUCGUAACAAGGUACC
rnacentral:rRNA from 1 species